GUCCCCGUCGUUCAACGGACAGGAUGAGGGUUUCCUAAACCCUAGAUCCAGGUUCGAUUCCUGGUGGGGACACCA
rnacentral:tRNA from 1 species